rnacentral:lncRNA from 1 species
UGUUGGAAAACGCUAUCGUAGACUGUUUAGGAAAAGCUACAUCCUGCUGCUUCUGGAUCAGUUGCUGCGGCUGAUGCACCUUCUGUGGCUGCUGCUGCUGCAUCUGCAGUGGCUGAGUUUGAUUUGUCAGCAGAUCCGGUCUCACUAGGUUAGGACCAAACCCAUUACGAGCUGAACCAAGACCUGCAUCACUUCCAAAUCCAAAGAACCUAUCAUUGAAGUGAUCCACACUCUCCACCUGUUGUUGAGGCUCUUCCCUAACCACACCAGCUCUCGCCAAGAACUCCUCCAGAGUCAUCUCCCCCAACGUCUGUUGCCUCUGCGGAACUCCACUCGCUCCUCCACCACCACUUCCAGCGUCAUCGUCCUUCAUCAGCUCCUUCCAGACAUCAUCAACUCUUUUCUGACUAAUGGUACGAGGUAAAGUAAUUGACCCUUGUCUCUGCAAACCACCACCAACACCAAUCUCUCCUCCCACACCAAUAGACAAACCUCCAUUAAAAGUGUUGUUGAAACUGGUGUUGUUGGCCAUUAUAGAGUGGCUUUCCUCAGCGGUCCAUAUGUUCUUCAAGAGCUCGUCCAUGUUCAUGGACCCAAAGUCCUUCCCAACCCCACCACCCCAUGAGUUCUGGAACUCAUCAAAGGUUAACGAGAACACAGAGUUCUGUCUCGUCAGAGGAACACCAGUCCCCAAAGCUGGCUGCUUUGCGUCGUCAACGAAGUUGAAUCGAGAACCCAUCUCUUAAAAAUCCAAGCUUUGAAUCCUUCAAGUAAAACAAACAAAUAAAAAUCAGAUCUUUAAUCAAAUUCGAAACAGAGCAAAGAGUGAAAACAGAGGAUCUGAAACAAUUCUCCAAAACGACCAAUCAUAAGCUUAUAUUGGGCGGGAAAAUUCAUUAUUCUGAUCCAAUCAACGAAUCUGAAACAAGAAACCAAUCAGUGAUGGGAGUUUUUAUUUUUUCCUUACCUUCAAAUUUUUAUUUUUUAUUUUUCUCGAUAUUUCCUUUUUGAGAAAAGAAAAAAAAAGAUCUGAUAAAUAUAGAGAGGGAGGGAGCGACAUGUGUCCGAGGCGUGACACUCGUCGCGAUAUAAAGAGGGGUUUCUACUGUUUGGACGCGGGGAUUAUUUUAUUCCCGAUAAGGUAUUAAAAACACUUUGACGUCAGAUCGUGCGUGAGCGAAAGAGAUUGGACAACGUGGUCCAAUGACAAACGCUGCUUUUUUUCUGCGUUUACGAUUCCAACGAAUAGUAGUUCGCAAAGUGGAAGGACGCUGGCCGUUAGAUUUUCUAAUCGCCGUCGUCGGCAACGAGAUGAAUAUUUUUUAUUUGUUUUUUGAAUUAUGCAACGAGAUGAAUAUUGUUUUUUUUUUUUGGUGCAAAUGAAUAUUGUUUUUUUUUCUUUAUAAAAACGAAUACUGUAUUUUGCCAGGCAAAUAUAUAUUCAUUCCGUUCUCCAAAGUAAGUAUAUUUUUAAUCUUUUUUCUUCUAAAGCAAAAAUAGUUUUUUUUAUAUUUUAAAAUACGUUUAUAUGUUUUUGAAAAAUAUCAAUUGAUAAAAUUUAAAUUAGUUGAAUAUCAUAGGUUGAUGGUUAUUAAAAAAAUAUGUAGUAGUGAAUUCAUUUGUAAAUAUUCAUUAUAUUUUUAAUAUCCGUGGAUGUUUUUAAAUUUAUUUUUACGGGAAAGGAUGGAAUAUAUAUAGUUUAAUGCUAUUCGAUAAAAAAUUUGUGAAUACUCGUAAUUCUAAAUAUAGUCAUUGAUUUGGUAUACUACAUUCACAAGAUAUAUAUCUACAGAACCUUUAGUUUCAUCAACGACUGCCCAAUGUAUCCAUGGAAAUCUGAAAGAAAGAAAAACAACAACAACAAAAUACAACGUUAUUAGUUUACAAAAAAAAAAAAUACAACGUUAUUCCUCCAUGUCAGGGAUCGCAUUAUUUUGGCAAAUCAACCCAGGAACCAUCUUAACAUCAUGAUUCACUAAUACUAAACUACAGAGAUGCGUACACACAGUUUAUAAACUACACUAACAAACAGAAAAACAGAGGAUGUUAUAAAAUUUAAAUGAAUAUAAAUUAUCAUACAAUAUGCAGUAUUUUUGUAUACAGAAGUGGAGGAGCCGACGGGUGAUCAGUUCCGGAAUCUUUAUCACGUUUGCUGCUGCACCUACAAGGGAUGGACAUUUGCCACGUAGCGCACUCAGCGACCUCGUAAAGUAUUAAAAUGAAGCAACAAACAUUAUAAUAUCGGUAUUGGUGUCCCAUUACUCACAUAAACCCUUUGUGUUGAUCCUCACAUGUGAUGUGAUCUUCUCUUUAAUUUAUUUUAUCUUUUUUGUUUUCUUUUGUUUAUUGAUGUUUCGUCAUUGUUAUGGACUUAUCAUGGACUCGGUACACAAGACAAGUGACCCUUCGUUUCACCCAUCUUUUAUUUCUAUUGUCAAUCAUAUAUAAUAAUAGUCUUUCUUAAAGAAUCUACUGGAUUAGGAAAGUCUAAUCCGCAUUAAUUAAUAAAAAAUGGAACCGUGAGCUUACAGAAUUCACAUGGACUCGACUCUACUAGUCUUUUGAAGACAUGUUCUUUCCUUUAUUAGAUUUAAUUAAUCAAAGUUACUUCUUUGAGGUCGUGAUGAGAUAACUACACACAUUUUCUAACCAUUCCUUUAGUCACACCUGUGUUGGAGGUUGAGAACGGUUGACCAAAUCAACAGUGUUGGAAAACGCUAUAGUAGACUGUUUAGGAAAAGCUACAUCCUGCUGCUUCUGUAUCAGUUGCUGCGGCUGAUGCACCUUCUGUGGCUGCUGCUGCUGCAUCUGCAGUGGCUGAGUUUGAUUUGUCAGCAGAUCCGGUCUCACUAGGUUAGGACCAAACCCAUUACGAGCUGAACCAAGACCUGCAUCACUUCCAAAUCCAAAGAACCUAUCAUUGAAGUGAUCCACACUCUCCACCUGUUGUUGAGGCUCUUCCCUAACCACACCAGCUCUCGCCAAGAACUCCUC